UUCUCACCCGCCUCUUUAUCCCCCGCCCGCACAUCUAGAUAUAGCCAGAGAAGGCAGUGAUGCCUUCUACAUGAGUAAAUGUGUGUGGGAGGUGGGGAAGAGAGGGAAGAUUGUAAGCCAACUCUACUACCUUGGAAGCAAAAAUCAUUAAAAAAAAAUCAAUGAGACUUCUGCCUAAACAUAUUUAGGCUUGAGCUGUAAGCCUACCUGGGUGAUUCAUAUUACUCUGCAACAGCAAUAUUCUUUAAAGGGUGGACCUGGAUGUGGACUACGCUUACUGCCAUUUUGAAGGACAACACUGAAAAUGAGGAGAAAGAAGCUGGCAGACAGUGCCAUCGCCUACCCUUCUUGUAAAUAAGGAGGACACACAGGGACAGACUGAAGCUGGCUGAGGGGCAGACAAGCUGGUGGACCAGUGGCCCAUUCCUCCUAACGGACCACUGCGUUGAACAAAGAUGGAGGUUUUAAAGCAACAAGUCUGUUGAUCUUACGUCUUCCGUUCAAGUCUGUUCUGUCUUUUUGAUUGGGCUUUCAGUUAGGGUUGAGUGAAUUUACCCAGUUCCAAUUUGUUCCAUCAUUCUGCUAUGCUUUAGGUUCUGCUCUGGUUACUGUCUGGCAAGAAUUUUUUUGAAGAAAUGGAAUACAUGCAUG